rnacentral:rRNA from 1 species
AUUGAACGCUAGCGGGAUGCUUUACACAUGCAAGUCGAACGGCAGCGCGGACUUCGGUCUGGCGGCGAGUGGCGAACGGGUGAGUAAUGUAUCGGAACGUGCCCAUUAGCGGGGGAUAACUACGCGAAAGCGUAGCUAAUACCGCAUACGCCCUACGGGGGAAAGCAGGGGAUCGUAAGACCUUGCACUAUUGGAGCGGCCGAUAUCGGAUUAGCUAGUUGGUGAGGUAACGGCUCACCAAGGCGACGAUCCGUAGCUGGUUUGAGAGGAUGACCAGCCACACGGGAACUGAGACACGGCCCAGACUCCUACGGGAGGCAGCAGUGGGGAAUUUUGGACAAUGGGGGCAAGCCUGAUCCAGCCAUCCCGCGUGGGUGAAGAAGGCCUUCGGGUUGUAAAGCCCUUUUGUGGGGAAAGAAAAGCAGCGGGUUAAUACCCCGGUGAUCUGACGGUACCUAAAGAAUAAGCACCGGCUAACUUCGUG